rnacentral:misc_RNA from 1 species
GAAAUGCGAUAAUUAAUGUGAAUUGCAGAAUUCAGUGAAUCAUCGAGUCUUUGAACGCACAUUGCGCCCCCUGGUAGUCCGGGGGGCAUGCCUGUCCGAGCGUCAUUGCUGCCCUCAAGCACGGCUUGUGUGUUGGGCUUCCGUCCCUGGCAACGGGGACGGGCCCAAAAGGCAGUGGCGGCACCAUGUCUGGUCCUCGAGCGUAUGGGGCUUUGUCACCCGCUCCCGUAGGUCCAGCUGGCAGCUAGCCUCGCAACCAAUCUUUUUAACCAGGUUGACCUCGGAUCAGGUAGGGAUACCCGCUGAACUUAAGC